rnacentral:rRNA from 1 species
CAGUAGCCGCGGGAAUACGAAGGGUGCAAGCGUUACUCGGAAUUACUGGGCGUAAAGCGUGCGUAGGUGGUGGUUUAAGUCCGUUGUGAAAGCCCUGGGCUCAACCUGGGAAUUGCAGCGGAUACUGGGUCACUAGAGUGUGGUAGAGGAUAGUGGAAUUUCCGGUGUAGCAGUGAAAUGCGUAGAGAUCGGAAGGAACAUCUGUGGCGAAGGCGACUAUCUGGGCCAACACUGACACUGAGGCACGAAAGCGUGGGGAGCAAACAGGAUUAGAUACCCGCGUAGUCCCUGUCUCUUAUAC